rnacentral:rRNA from 1 species
GACGAACGCUGGCGGCGUGCUUAACACAUGCAAGUCGAACGGAAAGGCCCUGCUUUCGUGGGGUGCUCGAGUGGCGAACGGGUGAGUAACACGUGAGUAACCUGCCCUUGAUUUUGGGAUAACUUAAGGAAACUGGGGCUAAUACCGGAUAGGAGCUCCUGCUGCAUGGUGGGGGUUGGAAAGUUUCGGCGGUUGGGGAUGGACUCGCGGCUUAUCAGCUUGUUGGUGGGGUAGUGGCUUACCAAGGCUUUGACGGGUAGCCGGCCUGGGAGGGUGACCGGCCACAUUGGGACUGAGAUACGGCCCAGACUCCAACGGGAGGCAGCAGUGGGGAAUAUUGCACAAUGGGCGGAAGCCUGAUGCAGCAACGCCGCGUGCGGGAUGACGGCCUUCGGGUUGUAAACCGCUUUCGCCUGUGACGAAGCGUGAGUGACGGUAAUGGGUAAAGAAGCACCGGCUAACUACGUG